GCUCGGGAGCAGCGCGGGAACCCGCCUCUUGGACUCUGAAGUCCCUAGGCCGAGCCCCUGGGAGGGAGGGUUUUACAGUUGUACCGCACUAAGCUGCCUAAAUUCAGUUCUGGCCUCCAGUGUCAUCCGCCCCUCCCAGGUGUGCUGAUUGUUGAGAUGAGAGGGGGCGACCUGGGAGACUACACUCAUGACCUACGUUGUGGCUAAUCAACUGCAGGUGCACCAUGGCUAGCGCCCAACCCACUUCCCUCUAGGGUUAAGUGCCUGGAGUUUGAACAGUAACAAUACGCCUCACCAGAAAACAACAUUAAUCCAAACCCCAGGAAUUAAGGGGACUUGAUAUUUUGUGUCCUCCACUUACACUCCAUUUUAACUCGGCCUCUGCCCAAGCUCCCAUUUGCAAUACAACGAUUCAAUUAGGCAAGAUUAAAUAUCUUAGUUGCUAUGGCAACGACAUCUCUCUUUAUAAAGUAAAACUUUGCAAGGGACCUCCCAAAGGAAUAGAGUAUAAAAGACUUAGCAUUAGGGACAUCUGAUCAGGUUUUGUAAAUGGGAGUAAAGAAAACGCAGUCCCAAGUUACAUGAGAAGAGCGGUGUCCCACAUAGACUGUUGAGAUUAGAACUACAAUUUGAAUCACUCUGAGAGGUAGCAAGAAGGCUGCCUGUGGGUCUCUUGUUGUUUCCUUGUCUGCUGAAUUCUAGGUUGGCGGCUGUCGUCUUCCUGCGUCUCGGGGGAGAAGCUGGAAGAACAUGCCUUCAUUUGGUCAUUCAAGUUUUUGUUGAGCCAUGCAUGUGAGCUACUGUGUAUGCACAGAUCUAAAUCUAACUUACAUUUGUGUUUGGUUCCCAAACUGCUCACCAUUUGAAGAUGGGUCACAUAUAGGUGUAUUCCUUGUAAAUGAAACAAAGAAAAAAGUGGUAGUAGAUACAGAUUGUAAAGUUAUGAUAUUGAAACUUGAAAGCAUCCGUUUUGUACGUGUUUCUGAAUGUUUGGAAAGGAAUAUUCCUCCCCCCGCCAAAUCCCUGAGCAGAUGAUCCAUUCUUCCAUCAUAGCAGUUAACAGCCUAUAUGACUUGGGGUAGUUACUUACCUUCCCUAAACUCAGACUUAAGAGAUUAUAACCAGAUAUGCCUUCAACAUUUCAAUCCAAUGAUGAUGUGAAUACAAAAAUGACUUCAAUGCUUGGCAACCCAAUUUACCAUUAGCUGAUAGUUAAAGCAACCAAUUUCAAACAGUAAUAUUUCUAGGUAAACCUCGGACACGUAACAUAUAAAUGUUAUUUUUAUUUUAAUUUAAUUCUUAAACACCCGUCAAGGUGACAACAUUGAUUCCAUGGAGAAAGAAGACUUCCAAAUUUGUGAUAUUGUAUCUCGGAAUCUCUUUCUGAAGUAAGAGCCCCACAUAGCUGUUUCUCCUGGUUUGUUGUUGUUGUUUUUUGCUAUGGCAUAUGAGGGUACUUCAAAAUGCUCAUGGAAAAAUGGAACUGAAUAUUCUGGUGCAAAAAUUGUGAAAAUCCAUGCAUACAAGGCUCUUCAAAAAGUUCAUAAAAUGCAAACUGUGAAAAAACUCUGCAUGAAUUUCAACAUUUUUGCAAUAAAACAAAUUUUGUAAUUCUGUUUUCCAGAACUGUUUGAAGAACUCUUUUUAAGCUCCCAAUAGCAUUACAGUAGAGAGAAAGAGGACUAACCCCAAAUACUGCUCCCAGCUCCCUACUGAUGUGCUUGAGAAAGCAGCUGAAGAUGGCUCAGUAUUUGGGCCCCUGCACCCAUGCUUAAGACCCAAAUGAAGCUCCUGGCUUCAGCCAUUUGGAACCAGCAGAUGGAAGACCUCUCUGUUUCUCCCUCCUCUGCAUAACUCUGCCCUUCAAAUAAAUACAACUUGAAAAAAGAAAUGAAAGAAAGAUCUUCCUUGAAAACCAGACCAUGACGAGGAUACUCAUGCCUUCCACGUGUAUUUAACAUUUUACUAGCAGUUCUAGACAAAACAAUUAGGUUGCUUCUCGUGACUACAGUAACUUCCAGUGCAUUGCUGAGGAGAUGCCUGGGAGUAGCCCAAGGCCCUCUGGAGGCUGUGGGGUCCACCAAUGCAUCCUUGCUUGCCCAAUGAAGAGACACAUGAUCUUCAAAAUUCAAUCCCUUGGAUUUGGCCAAGGGGAUUAGAACCGCCUAUAAUAUAUUUAUCUGCCUAGUAUGCAGAUUUUCAAAGGAAAAUAUGGUUUUAUUUGGCAUGUCUGAAAAGUAUCCAGGGGCCAAAGAACCUCAUUCCAGCCAAAUCAAUAAAUACAGAGAAGCAUCUCUUGUCUACUAUAGUGGAUCAACUGGAAGGAUGAUGACAGCUGUUCCUGUUGACUUUUCCUGAAACUGACUCAACUUAAACUUUGUAAAAAAAGCUUAGGUCAACAGUACAUCACCAGCUAGUUUCUGCCAAAUAGACUGAACUUUCUUCCAAAGCUGAGUUAGAGUUGGGAAGAGCCAAUGGGAAAAAUGAAGCCAAGGUCAUGCUGAGUUCAGCUCAGGCUUUGGAAAGUGUUUUUCAGAACUCUGCUAUCCUAGGUUGCCCUCAAAGUAAGUGGGGAAAAAUAAUUAACAAAACUGUAUGUGUGUGUAUUUGGGAAACACUCAACCAUUUCAAGACUGUCCUGACUAUGACAAGAAUGCAUUUCUAACCAUGGAUCAUGAAGAAAACCAUCAUCCUUUGCAGGUGGUUUUUGGACAUGCACUGAUUGCUAUGGUGAAGUUCCAUAAAGGUAACUGGGAAGAUGAAUAACUGCUACUUUAUCCCUUCCCAGUUAUCUGGAAUUUCCUUAAAGGUUGAAGGAAUGCCUUGUUUGACUCUAGUACAUAGCAUGAUGGCCAAUACACAGUACAUGUAUAAUUAAAUGUCAUUACAUGAUAGGAUAACAGCAACAGAUAAUGCUGGGAGUAGCUUCAUUAUCUUACUCAGCUAAGAGGCUCCUCAAUCUGGAAGGUUGUGUCGACCAAAAUUUAUUGGGGGUGGAUAAAUCCUUCUAACCUAUAGAGAUGAAAAAUCAUGCUUAAAAAUUAUGGAAGGGCCAGGCAUUGUGGCUGUCCUUGGGAUGUCUGUAUUCCAGGUCAGAGCAGCAGAUCAAGUCAUGGCUAUUCCAUGCUUAUGAUUCAGCUUCCUGCUAAUGUACUUGGGAAAGCAGAGGAUGAUGGCCCAGGUCCUUGUGUUCUUGGCCCCCAUGAGGAGGACCCAGAUGAAGGAUGAAGUUACAGGCUCUUUGCUUGGGCCUUGUCAACCUGGCUGUUGCAGGCUUUUGAGGAUUGAAGCACUGGAUGGAACAUUCUCUCUCUCAAUCUCUCUCUCUCUCAAAUAAAUAAUUAAUCUUUAAAAAGAGUGCAAAACACAUAAAUCCAUAGUUUUUUAGAAUAGGUGUAUCUGUCACUUAGCAUUGACUCCAAGGAAUGCUAUUAUAUAAGACAAAUGAAAUUUGGGGGCUGAGGGGCAAUUAUAGGUCUAAGGGUAGAGUAAAGAUAAGGAGGAACUUUAAAGGAAAAAGAAGUUAGAACACAUAAGAGGGCAUGCAGACACCUGGCUUCCUGGAUGAAUAUAGCAUUUCCUUUUGUUUCUGCAGCAGAUAGCAGUCCAGAAGCAGUGAGAAAACAGUCUUGGUUUGGUUUCUUUUGUAACACACUUUAUUUUUUGGAGAUGUUUUAAGUUCACAGAAAAGUUGAGCAGAAGGCAUAAAGAUUUUCUAUGAACUCACAGCUCCCAUGCAAGCAUAACCUCCCCUGCCCUCCACAUUCUGCCCUACACUGUCCCAUUAUGAUCAUCUGAAGUGCAGAGUGUAUGUUGGCUUCUCUCUUGGUGGUAUGCAAGCUGUGGGUUCUAUGAGACAAAUGUAUAAUGAUGUGGAUCCACCACUACAAUGUCACACUGAGUAGUUUCACUGUCCUGCAAGAAACCUGUGUUCUUCCUUCCUUCCACUCAACUCCCACAGCCACCAUCUUCUUACUGUCUCUAUAAUUUGGCUCUUUCCAGAAUGAUCUAUUAUUGGAAUCAUACAGUAUGUAGCCUUCUCAGGUUAGCUUCUUUCCCUUAGUGAUGUGCAGAUUGUGAGGGAUUCAGAGUUCCUCAUCUCUUUGUUCUACCAUCAUUGGCUUAUCUGACUUUCAUCUCUUCCUGUAAACAUAACAUCUUAAAUAAAUUAUUUUCUUUAUGCAAGAACUUUCACACCUGGAAGCACAAUGUGUUGAUUUUUGGAGAUACAGUCUAGUCCCACAAAAAGAGCAGCAUGUAAACAUGGCUGGUGUUUUAUUCUCUCUUUCCUCUCUCCCUCCAUCUCAGUCUCAGUUUUGUGGCUUUAAAAACCCUCUACCUCCCUCUUGUGGACAUCUACUGAGAAGCAGGCAUACUCUUCAAAGCUAACAGGACCUCUGGCUGGGGGAAUGAUUAACAAAGAAGUAACUUUUGGGAUUAUCACUUGGCUUCCACCAGUGGGCUGCUUGAAGGUGGGCAUUGACUUCCCACUCCCACCACCUCAUACCCACACUAACUAGUUGGUACAAUUUGAUAGAGUCAGAUAGAUUUCUGUUGCUGGUUGCCUGUGAGCAGUUUUUCCUGUUUUUCUUGUCUCAGUCUCCAGGUUUGGAGUCAAGGAAGAAAGUGUUUUCUUCAUGGAAAUGUAUGAAGCUGCUCCUCAGAGUUUACUGCUGGAUUUGGAUGGAGCAGCCGCCCCCUUUUGGAGUAUUGCUUGGUGGACUCAGAAGGUCCUUCCUUCUCUGGUGUCCAGGUACCAGGGAAUUACUGUGGACCAGUUCUCUUCCCCAGAGCUGGGCAUGAAUUUAAAAGUUAUAUUUAUUUUUAAUCCUUAUUUUAUUUAUUUUAAGCAUCAGAGAGGAGGAGAUAGAGACCUUCAUCGACCAGCUCAUUCCCCAGUUGCUCAGGAGUUGGAAGUGCAGUCCAGGUCUGCCAUGUGGGUGGCAGCAACCUAACCACCCAAGUCAUCACCACUGCAUAGCAAGAUGUAUGUUAGCAAGAAGCUUGAAUCAGGAGUGGAGCUAGGACAGGCACUCCAAAAUGGGACUUAGCUGUCUUAACUGCUGCACCAGACACCUGUCCCUAAACAUUUUUAUUUAUUAAUUAUAAAAGAAACACAUUUUUGUUUUUCUAUUAAAAUACACACACACACACACACACACACACACACACACACUUAGGAAAAGCAGAUAGUGCAAGAAAAGCAAAAGUCACCUGUGAAUUUAAGCAUAUGGUCCUGGUAACAGUCACCUAUGAAUCUUAGCAUAUGGUAGGUCAUACUGUCAACAGUUUGCAUGAGGGUCCAUGCUGUGGUGUAGAGGGUAAAGUUGCUGUCUGCAGGUGCUGACAUCCCAUAGGGGUGCUGGUUCAGUCCUGGCUACUCCACUUCUGAUCCAGCUCUCUGCUAAUGUACCUGGGAAGGCAGCAGAGGAUGGCUCAACUGCUUGGGCCCCUACACCCACAUAGGAGACCCAGAGGAAGCUCUGGGCUCCUGGCUUUGACCUGGCCCUGCCCUGGCUAUUGCAGCCUGGCUGUCUCUGCCUCUGUCUUUCCCCCUCUCUCUGUAACUCUGUCUUUCAAAUAAAUAAAUAAAUCUUAAAAAAGUUUGCAUAUGAUCAUCCUGUAUGUACAUACUUCUCUGAAACAUUAUAUUCUAUAAUAGAAUAGAAGUGAUUUUAUGUUACUCUUUUCCCACAAAAAUAUAUUGCACACAUUUUCCCAUGCUAUGGUAUAAACUUACUUAAUCUUUUUAAUGCCUUUCUCAGGCUGGCAUUAGUGCAUUGCACUUGAUUUCUCUCUGUGAGGAUAGAAAGAUUUAACAGAUCUUCCCUAGGCACCAGCUUUGUGGUGUGUAGCAGAUAAGGCUGCAGCCUGCAAUGCUACCAUCCCAUAUGGUCAUGGUUUGUGUCCUGUGCGCUUUCCCAUCCAGCUUCCUGCUAAUGGCCUAGGAAAAGCAGCGCAAGAUGGCCCAGUAUUUGGGCCCCUGCUACCUACGUAGAAGACCUGGAAGAAGUUCCUGGCUCCUGCCUCCUGGCUUUGGCUUGGCCCGGCUCUGGCUAUUGUAGCCGUCCAUGUGGAGUGAACCAGUAGAUGGGAGAUCUAUUUCUUUGUCGCUCUCUCUCUGUGUAACAUUGACUUUCAAAUAAAUAAGUAAAUCUUUUAUCAAAAGGAGAUCCUCCCUGGUAGUUGUCAGUGAGUUCUCAGGUCAGAUAGUGCUACCCCCAGGUGGGCUUCUGAAGUCUUAGUCUAUCCAAGGGGCUUCCUUGUUUCAUUUGUGACUUCCUUGAUGCCACGGAUCACUAGCUCUCUGAAAUGAUUUUUGUUUGCAACAGUAAUUCAAAAGGUUUGUGGAAAACCAAACUAAAAUUAUGAGUUAAUUUUGGUGCAAUAAUCACUUUGAAAUCCAUGCAAAGCAAUAUGGGAUGCAGGUGCCCAAACCAAGACUUCACUUCUGAGCCAAAUGCCCACUCCCUAAAUGCAUUUAAACAAUUUCUUUUGCAGAGCAUUUUGAUUGUACCAUUUUUAUCACUAUUACAAGAUUUUUUUGUUUAUUUGGAUGAUUAUUUUCUUUAUCUCAAUAUUUAAAUGUAAGCAUUUUAGACAUAAAGAUAUAAACAAUAGAGUAAUGAGCAUUUAUAUGUCUUUCAUCAAGGUUAAAAAUGUUCACCCUGGGGCCAACGCUGUGGCAUAGUGGACUAAGCCUCUGCCUGAAGCACCAGCAUCCCAUAUGGGUGCCGGUUCUAGUCCCGGCUGCUCCUCUUCCAAUCCAGCUCUCUGCUAUGGCCUGGGAAAGCAGUAGAAGAUGGCCCAAGACCUUGGGCCCCUGCAUCCGUGUGGGAGACCCAGAAGAAGCUCCUGGCUCCUGGCUUUGGAUUGGACCAGCUCUGGCUGUUUAAGCCAUUUGGGGAGUGACCCAAUGGGUGGAAGACUGUCUCUCCCUCUCUUUGUCUGUAACUCUACCUCUCAAAUAAAUAAAUAAAUCUUAAAAAAAUGUUCACCCUGAGAGGCAGUGGAAGAUGACCGCAAGUACUUGGGCCCCUGCUACCCACAUGAGACAGCUGGAUAGAGUUCCUGGCUCCUGGCUUCAGCUUUGUCCAGAGCUGGCACUUGCAGGAAUUUUAAACGUGAACCAGCACAUAGGAGUUCUGUCUCUAAAUAAAUUUGAAAAUAUAAGCUUAUUGUACUGUAAUUUCUUUUACUUUUGAAUUAAAAGUUUAUUUCUAUUUUUUUUUACCAAGAAAAACUUAUCUUUCAAUUCCAUUUUCCAUGAACUUGCUGAAAUAUGCUUAUAAGUGACAUCAUACAGUGCAUGUCCUUUUGGAUGGGUUUUAUUCACUUCAAAUGAAAAUGUUGUGAGUUGCAGCACACUUCAUUUUUAAAGGUGAAACAAUAUUUCAUUUAAUAGUAUUCUGUUUCACUGCAUAUACAUGUGGAAUGUGGGUGUAACACAUACAUGAGGGUAUUUCAAAAUUUCAUGGAAAAUAGAGAUGUAAAGUGUGUUUAUUUUAGUGCAUUUUUUCAAAAUACUUGGAAAAAUCUGUAUUAUGAAAAACUAUGCAUUGAUUUCAAAAUGUUUUUCAGCAAAAAGCUAAUAUUUCCAUUUUUCCAGUUACUUUUCAAGUUUCCUCAUACACUCAUGUGUGUGUGUGUGUGUGUGUGUAUGUGUGUAUAUAUAUAUACACACACACAAUGUUACCAUGUUUUCUUUAUCUUUGGGUGAAUGUUCUAUUUCCAUAUUUUGGCUCUCAUGAAUAAUGCAGAUAUCUCUGUGAGAUCCUGAUUUCAAUUUGUUUGGCUAUAUAUUCAUAUCAGAACAAAUAUUGCUGGGUCAUACAUUAACUCUAUUUUUGAUUUUUGUGGAACCUCAAUAUUGUUUUCCAUAGUAGUUGCAACAUUUUACAUUCUCAUCAACAGUGUACAAGGCUUCCAGUUUUUCCACUUCCGUGCCAACACAUUUAUUCUUUUUUAUGGUUAUAGGCAUCCUAACAAGUGUGAGGCCCUAUGACAUUGUCAUAUUGGUUUGCAUGUUCUUGAUUAUGAGUGAUGUUGAGCACCUUUUCAACAUAUUUCCAAAAAACAGUACAUAGUUACAAUAAUUGAAAUGACAUGGUAUUGACAUACAGACAAACAUACAAUCCAAUGGAACUGAAUAGAGAUCUCAGAAAAAAAAAUCUAUGCACAUAGUGAACUGAUCUUCCACAAGAAUAUACACAACAGGGAAAGGAUAGUUUGCUCAACACAUGGUGUUGGGGAAACUAAAUAUAGGUGAGCAUGACAUCAAACUAAUAACAUAGUAUAUACCUGUUUUAGACAUUUGUGUCUUUGAGGAAUGUCUGUUCAGGUUCUUUGGCUGAUUUUUCAAAAUGAGGUGUUUUUGUUGUUUUGUUUUGCUGUUAUUGAGUUUUUAGAAUUAGUUAUGCUUUUUGUAUAUUAGCCCCUUCUGUGACAUAUGGUUUAUAUAUAUUUUCUUCCAUUUUUUAAGUUGCCUUUUCAUUCUGUUGACUGUUUCCUUUGCUGAGUAGAAGCUUUUCAAUUUGAUGUAGUCCCACUUAUCUAUUUUUGAUUUGGUUCCAAAUCAUUGCCAAGACCAAUAUUAAGAAACUUUUCUCCCAUAUUUUCUUCCAAGAAUUUUAUAAUUUCAGGUCUUAUGUUUAAGUUUUUCAGAUUUACUUGUGUGAAUGGAGCAAGAUAGAGGUCCAAUUAAUUAUUUUGCCUUUAGAUAUUCAGUUUUCCCAACAGCCUUUGUUGAUGAGACUAUCCUUUCCCUAUUGUGUAUUGUUAACAUCAUUGUAGAAGAUCAAUUGACUAUAAAUGUGUGAAUUUACUUCCGCUUCCUUAGUCUACACUAAUGUCUGUUUUAUGCUGCUUUAAUUACUGUAGGUUUGUAAUGUGUUUUUUAUUUCUCAAAUCUCUUGGUUAUUCUGGAUGUUUUGGGCCAAGAUCUGUGUUUAGCUUAAGGGCCGUCCAAGAGAUGCAACACUCAAAUAACCAUGUUUUCUAGUUUCAGUAAGAUUUUACAUCUAAGGGCUUUGCUUUGAAAAUAUUGACCCUCCUAGGGCUAGCCAGUUCUUUUUUUUAAACAAUUUUUUUUUUAUUUUAAAGGCAUAUUUAUAGAGAGAUGUGUGUGUGUGUGUGAGUGAGUGAGAGAGAGAGAGAGCGAGCCAAGAGCCUUGACUUCUUCCGGGUCUCCCAUGUGGGUGCAGGGGAUGAGGAAUUGGGCCAUCUUCCAUUGGUUUCCCAGAUGCAUUAGCAGAGAUGUUGGAUUGGAAGUGGAGCACCUAGGUCUCAAACUGGCGCCCAUAUGGGAUGCCAGUGUUGCAGGCAGAGGCUUAACCUGAUACAUAACAAUGCUGGGCCCACCAGUUCUUUUCUUAAAAAAAUUUGUAUUUGUUUAUUUUAUUUAUAUAUAUAUGUAUAUGUAUAUGUAUAUGUAUAUAUAUAUAUAUAUAUAUUUGGAAUGGUAGAGAGAGAGAGAGUGAGCACUUCCAUUUACUGGUUCACUCUCCAAAUGCCCACAACAGCCAGAGUUGGACCAGGCUGAAGCCAGGAGCCUGAAAUGCAAGUUAGAUCUUCCAUGUAAGUAGCAGGGACCUAAGUACUUGAUCUGUCAUUUGCUGACUUUCCAUGGUGUGCAUUAACAGGAUGCUUGCUCAGAAGCAGAACUGGAACUUGAUAUGGGAAGUGGGCAUCCCAAGCAGUGCCAAAUGCUUGCUCCUAGUCAGUUUUAGAUACAGUAAAGAAUUCAUCUGCAAGUGUGUCUUUCAUACCAACCAACCAGCCCUACAGGGCACAACCCAACCAUUUCCCAUAUGGGCUUGCAUACUCUGGGCUACUAUUUACCUGCCCUAAUCACCUCUAUUCCGGGCCAGGUGCCAAACAAGCAGCACCAAUCCAUAUGCCCCCGAGCCCACUGAAAUUAUUCAAACUAGAUGAUUCUAAAUCCACUUACCUUGUUCGUUCUCAUCCACACAUUUUCUCUGAAUAUUUAGUCGAGCUGUUUGCAUUCUUCACUGCCAUUAGAAUCACAUAGGAAAGAGUAGAGUUUAAAAAAUACUAUGCUCAGCCGCAACUCUUGGUGUAUUAAAUCAGUCUCUGGUGAUGGAUCCAAAUAUCAAAUAUGAGAAUUUUUAGAGUACCCUGAUUAAUGUUUCUGUGCAGCACACGUGAAGAAUUAUUCAUGUAGUCUAUCGACAGCUAAGAGUGGUCUCCGACUAGACUCAGAGCUUUGGGAAAGUUCUGGCCCUUACCUCACAAUGCCUUCACACCUGAACAUUCCAUUCCCUUGAUUGGCAAAGGCUGUUAAGUAAAAGCAACCACGGUGCUCCACUUAACUACUUGGGCUCCCACUCCCACUAUAAUGUCAUUCUUUACAAUUCGCCAAUUUUAAAAAUUAAUUUGAAAAUGAUCAAACCUUUCAAAUCCAGAAUUUUGGUUUAAGCCCAUCUUCAUCUGGAUAGAUUAUUCAGAUAGGCCAUGGCAUUCUUCAAAUCCCCAGCUUAAGUUACUGCCAGUAUUUAUUUUUUGCUGCAUCUUUCUGUUGCCUCUAUUUUCAAAUCCUUUGUAGGAGUACAGCCAUCAUCCAUAGUGCUAGCACACUGCUAGGUGUCACUGCAAGUGUCACUCUCUUUUUCUCACUCAGGCUUUUCUCUCAGCUGUAAAAGGCUAGCUUGCAGGGCAACAGUUUGGCACUGCAGCUAAAAUGCUGCUUGGGGUACCCUCAUCCCAUAAUGAAGUACCUGGUUCAAGUUCCAGCUCCUCCACUUCCAAUCCAGGCUCCUGCUAAUGCACACCUGGGAGGCAGCAGAUGAUGGCUUAAGUGUUUGAAUCCCUGCCACCCAUGUGAGAGAAACAUAUUGAGUCUCCUGACUUUGACCUCACCUAACCCAGGUUAUGGUGGGCAUCCGGGAAGUGAAUCAGUAGAUAGAUCUCUGUCUCUCUGCUUUUCAAAUAAAAUGGAAAAAAAGUCUAUUUUGCCCAAGCACAAUCUGUAAAUUCAGAAACUUUAAAGAUCCUCUAUGGGUAAUUACCAGUCAAUGGGAACUGUGGGUUAUUAAGAAAUAAUACACACUGUCCUUCAAAGAGACACCUCUGAAAUGUAUUCUAUGGGGCCAGCACUGUGGCUCAGCAGGUUAAGCCACUGCCUUCAGUGCUGGCAUCCCAUAUGGGCACUGGUUCAAUCCCAGCGGCUCCACUUCUAAUCCAGCUCCCUUCUAAUGGUCUGGGAAACAGUGGAAGAUAGACCAAGUCCUUGGGCCCCUGCACCAAUGUGGGAGACCUGGAAGAAGUUCCUGGCUUUAGCGUGGGCCAGCCUGGCUGUUGUGGCCAUUUGGGGAGUGAACCAGCAGAUGGAAGAUUCUCUCUCUCUCUCGCUCCCUUCCUCCUUCCCUCCCUCCCUCCCUCCCUCCCUCCCUCCCUUCU